GAAAUGGCGAAAAUUUAAGAUAUCCGGAAAAAUUUUUGGCUUCACGGAAAAUUUUUGUAUGUCCGGAAAAAAUUUUUGACCCCUAAAAUGGUACACUGACCGAAUUUUUUUUGGCGACGGGGGGUGGGGGGGGGGGAGGUCGCCAAAAAAUUUUGCAGUAAAAAAAAAAAUUUCAGUAAAGGUGCCCUUGGUGUGCGUCCGCCCCCCUUUGCCCUAUUAUCGUUCCGGCGUCCCUGCACGUGAGUACUUACACAUUACUAUUCCACUGUGUAUAAAUGUAGAACGAAAUUAUAACCUUCCCUAAGCCUUCAAAUACAUAUAAUAUAAUACCCAAUAUUUACG